GGAAGCGGCGUGCGCGGGUUCUUCAGUUUGCGUAGUUCUAGGCGUGUCGUAUUUGUCGUGUGAUUGCGGUGAAUACUGAUCCGCGGGUUGACCAUCUGAAAGAAAGCUUGGUGCCAUGGUGAUUCAAUGUGAUAGUAUUCCAAUGGCUGGAGAAGGAUAUAUCACCUCCAUCUAGCUCCUCUCGUUUUUCCAGAACAUAUUACAGGUGCUGCCAGUAUGGGAAGCUGACGCUUUCCCUGGGUGAUUAUGUGUUAAUCUCAGACCUGUCUGCUGGUGACAAGGACAAUGAAGAUGGCUGUGAAAUCGCUGAAGUCCGCAGUUUCUAUGACUCAGGGGACCCGGAUGAUACGGACCCGGCCUGGAUGUCGGUGCAGUGGUACACGCGGGCGGGCGCGAUGCCGGCGCCCGCACGGCGGAGCCUGGAUCGCGCCCUGCCGCCGCUCUGUGCCGCCCGUGAGGUGGUGCUGGACGCCCGGCCCUACAGUGCUGAAGUCCGGGUCAGCUCCGUCUGGGGACAGUGCCAGGUGUGCACGGUGGCUGCCGACCGUGACCCGACGGCGGUGCCGGCGCCCGCCUCGCCCCCGCUGCCGCUGUUCGUCGCGCGGUUCUUGCUGGAGGGCGCGGGCC